GACGAACGCUGGCGGCGUGCUUAACACAUGCAAGUCGAACGGAAAGGCCUGCUUUCCCUUGUGGAUUGCGGGUACUCGAGUGGCGAACGGGUGAGUAACACGUGAGUGAUCUGCCCCCAACUUGGGUAUAAGCCUGGGAAACUGGGUCUAAUUCCCGAUAGGACUGCAGGGUGGUGCCUGUGGUGGAAAACGAUUUUCUAGUGGUUGGGGAUGAGCUCGCGGCCUAUCAGCUUGUUGGUGGGGUAAUGGCCUACCAAGGCGGCGACGGGUAGCCGGCCUGAGAGGGUGGACGGCCACAGUGGGACUGGGAUACGGCCCAGACUCCUACGGGAGGAAGCAGUGGGGAAUAUUGGACAAUGGGCGGAAGCCUGAUGCAGCGACGCGGCGUGGGGGAUGACGGCCUUCGGGUUGUAAACUCCUUUCGACCGCGAGGAAGCCACCUGGUUGGAAGGGUGGUGACGGUAGUGGUAGAAGAAGCACCGGCUAACUACGUG
rnacentral:rRNA from 1 species